rnacentral:rRNA from 1 species
UACGUAGGCAGCAAGCGUUGUUCGGAGUUACUGGGCGUAAAGGGUGCGUAGGCGGCUUUUUAAGUUUGGUGUGAAAUCUCCCCGCUCAACUGGGAGGGUGCGCCGAAUACUGAGAGGCUAGAGUGUGGGAGAGGAAAGUGGAAUUCCUGGUGUAGCGGUGAAAUGCGUAGAUAUCAGGAGGAACACCGGUGGUGUAAACGCUUUCUGGACCAUAACUGACGCUGAUGCACGAAAGCGUGGGUAGCAAACAGG